AAUCAACGCUGGCGGCGUGCCUCAGACAUGCAAGUCGAACGCGAAAGUUCCCUUCGGGGAAUAAGUAGAGUGGCGCACGGGUGAGUAACACGUAGGUAAUCUACCUUCGGGUGGGAAUAACCCAGGGAAACUUGGGCUAACACCGCAUGAUGCAGCGGCACCACAUGGUGACAGUUGUUAAAGCGGGGGAGUUUUCGGUACCUCGCGCCUGAAGAGGAGCCUGCGGCGGAUUAGCUAGNGGUUGAGGUAACGGCUCACCAAGGUCACGAUCCGUAGCCGGCCUGAGAGGGCGGUCGGCCACACUGACACUGACAUACGGGUC
rnacentral:rRNA from 1 species